AAGACGUGCCGUCUGCGCCGGGAGUUGUGAGCCCGAGCCGUGAGCUCCUCAACUCCGCGGGGGCCGUGCCAGGAGACCCGGGGCGCACAGUCCUCUGCGAGGAGGUGUGCAAAUAGACAGUUUAUAAUCCUGACAACAAUGGUGCAGAAUAUGAGAGGAAGAUUUGUCAGGCAGAGAACAAAAUUGAUCGUGUGGACACAGUGGUCAGUAAAAUUUCAAAUGGUAAGUAAAUGUCAACCAUGAAUCAAUAAAGAUUUCCUUCAAUUAGUCAUUAUUUUCCUAUUUACACUGUUAGUAUGUGUUUCAGUGCUGUCAACCCUUAACUGUGUGGGCAGGUUUGGUGCCUGGUCCUGACAGUGUCACUGACUUGGACCUCCUGGCCACUUUCGGUGCUGCUGAAUCAGCAAAGCACCCAGUGUUUGUUUCAGCUGGAGAAGGGAGCACUGCUGGGGCCCUCUGAGUGUAACCACUUUCAGUGUCACAGGGAGUUGUUUUCGAUUAGAAAAUAGAAAAUGUAAAGUACACACUAAUCAGAUUGCAAAUAAUUCUUCCAAGUGGUUGGUGGUACAAUGAAGAAACCUUAUGGUUAACUACUCAGAAGAACGAAAUUAAUAAAUACUUAAUUGCAUGGUGGCAGGGUGGGGGUAAACCAAUGAAAGGGACCUGAAGGAUUACACGAUGGUCUUGAUAGCUGCAGCCUCUGGAGAGGGUUCUCUUCAAACAAGAAUUUGAAGGAGCUGGAGGAUCUCUUCAAACAAGAUGCUGCAGAGGCUCCACUUGUUCCUCCCAGGAAUGACUGCAUGAUAAGGUAGGCACCAGCACUUGCCUCAAUAGUGCUGUGUAGAAAAGGCGUUUGACAUGAUUUCCACUAGGCCUCAGCAGUCACCUUGGCCUUUCACAUUUCAAACCGUGUUUUGUUUCUUCAGGCUGAGCUGAGCAUCUCUUGAAAGCAGGAUUAGGCUCCAAGAAAACACGAAGAAACACUGUUCUGUUCCUGCAGAUGUCAGAAGGGCUGUCAUGCAGCCGCUGAAGCACAAGAAUGACCGAGGUGGAGGCAGGGCUGGCACGACAUUCACCAAAACCCUUCGCUGGAGCGGGAGGAGCCGCUGCCGCCGGCGAGACCCGAGGCUGGGUACCUGCGCUGGGGGAGCCCGGGACCCGCCCGGGGGCGUGGCUCUGCUGGCUCCGGCUCUGCGGAGCCGCCAUGCCCGGUGUCGGGCGGGUCGGGCCGGCCGCUCCGCCGAGGGUCCCGGCUGGGCCGCCGGGCCGGGGCUCCGCCUUCGCGUAAAAAGGAGGGGGAAAGCUCCCGCCUGCGCGGACCCGCCAAGGCACGGACGGGGUUCGAACCCGUGAUCUUCGGUUUACGAGACCGACGCCUUACCACUUGGCCACCGCGCCUGCGUUAAGGGCUCUUCCUGACGCCCUUCUAUCGCUGGCGCCACUCCCGCCGCCCGCCCACGGCCCGCCCUCGCGCGCGCCUGGGCUGCCACCUGCCGGGGCGCGCGGCCCUGAGGCGCUGAGGGCGCGGCUGAGGGGGCGGAACGGGAGCAGGGACAGACGGAGCGGGACUGCCGCCGCUCCCGCUCUCUUCUGGCUCUCGCUCUCCCUUCGUCUCCCUCUGUGCUGCCAGGAGCGUCCCCUCCGGCUAUGGAGGCGUUCUGUGGGCAGAGCCCUCUGCAGCGUCCGCCCCGGGGCUGUGAGGGUGCGGUACCGGGAGACGGCACUCGAGAGGCUGCUUCACAGCGGGCCAGCACGGCUUGGAGAGGGAGAAAAAAACGGGAUUAAAAUUUUCCUCCUCCAAGAAGAGAAGCAGGAAUGCAAAACGUUUGGAUAACUAAAUGUCCCUGUGGGCAGAACUGAUGGCCUGGCAAUCUGAAUGCUUGCUGGCAUUUAUCUGCCAGUCUUCUUCAUCACAUGCCCUCAUCUGGACUAUGGAAAGCUGGGAAAUGAGAAUAGCACUGUUGGAUUCUGCUUUUGUCUUGUCAGUGUAAACACUGCAGCAUUUCAAAGUGUGAUGCCUCACACAUGAGAUGGAGGUGUUUCUUUAGGAAAGACUUUGGUGUCUGUUUCCAUGUGCAAAACAAGGCCUUUCAACAUGUUCCUGACUCUUCUGAGAUACAUACAGGGGAACAAUUCGAUUCAUGUAGAUUUGGUGCAAUUGAGUUUUAUAUAGACUUGCUAUGGCAUGCUGAGGAGCAUUCCAGCUCCUCAGUUGCAGCUACUUGAGCUUUGACUUUGUCUUAGCUGUAUGUAAGAAUGUUUCUGUUCGCCAUUUUAGUUUCUAAUCCACAGCACUGGUCUUGGAAGGGGUUCAAGAAUGAUGGCAGAAUGGCCCUGCAGUCCUAUUUCUGCACCGAAGACUGGAGACUCACAGGUGACCUUGCAAUUUGCUUUGAAAAAGAAAAAAAUACUCUGAUGUUUAGAAUACAGCUGAUCUUCCAGUUGCCUAGAACCAGUCCCUCUGCCCUGACAUUCACUCCUGUCGAGAUCAUUCCAUUAAUUGAAUCACUUGGCACCACAACAUUUCUCACCAUUGUAAUGCCCUCUUAGGCUACUAAGCCUAAUUAUGGGAGAAAGCCUCCUUCUUUUAUUGCUGAGCUACUCUGUUUAUUACUUUAGUUGUAUCAGUGCCUUUCUGAUAGCUCCCUUAUUUUAACUGACAUAAAGUUGUUAUUCAUUAAUGUCUCCGUGUAGUUCAUGCACACUUUUCCCAGUAAUGUAUCUUUGCUGUUUAUAGUUGAUAAAACAUGGUUAUAUUUAAUAAAAUUUUACUGUCAACAUGCUUUAACUCUUACCUUAUUCUAUUCUUUCUAUAAUUUCAAUAAACAUGUUAAGGACUUGCUCAACUUUUCCAAUUUUGAUGAAGUAUGUCUGUGCCAACCUAAGGUGUUAUUUUAAUAAUUUGAAUGCUGUUCAGAGAUUAUUGUAAAGGUCUGCCUGAGCUAAUUUGCAAGCAUGAAGUUCCACAGAAGGUUGACCAUAUGUGUUUUGGGAAGUGUUUUCUUUAAUAAGGAACUAAGCAAACUUCCAUAAAUUUAGCUUCAUUCAGGCUAGAUAGAUUCUAACUCCUGUUCCUAAAAGAAUUCUCAUUUGAUUAUAGCAGCGCGUUUUUAUUACCAGGUUUAAAAUCUUUACAUCACACA